GGUGAACGCUGGCGGCGUGCUUAAGACAUGCAAGUCGAACGGGCUCUUCGGAGCCAGUGGCGCACGGGUGAGUAACGCGUAACUGACCUACCCCAAAGUCGCGGAUAACGAUUCGAAAGAAUCGCUAAUACGUGAUGUGCUGUCAGAUCCUGUUCUGCCAGUAAAGAUUUAUUGCUUUGGGAUGGGGUUGCGUUCCAUCAGCUAGUUGGUGGGGUAAAGGCCCACUAAGGCGACGACGGAUCGCCGGCCUGAGAGGGUGGCCGGCCACAGGGGCACUGAGGCACGGGUCCCACUCCUACGGGAGGCAGCAGUUAGGAAUCUUCCACAAUGGGCGAAAGCCUGAUGGAGCGACGCCGCGUGAGGGAUGAAGGUCUUCGGAUCGUAAACCUCUGAAUCAGGGACGAAAGACGCGAAAGCGGGAUGACGGUACCUGAGUAAUAGCACCGGCUAACUCCGUG
rnacentral:rRNA from 1 species